rnacentral:rRNA from 1 species
CGUGUAGGCGGGGACAUAAGUCAGAUGUGAAAUACCGAGGCUUAACUUCGGGGCUGCAUCUGAAACUAUGUUUCUUGAGUGUCGGAGAGGAAAGUGGAAUUCCCAGUGUAGCGGUGAAAUGCGUAGAUAUUGGGAGGAACACCAGUGGCGAAGGCGACUUUCUGGACGAUAACUGACGCUGAGGCGCGAAAGCGUGGGGAGCAAACAGGAUUAGAUACCCUGGUAGUCCACGCUGUAAACGAUGGAUACUAGGUGUAGGAGGUAUCGACCCCUUCUGUGCCGGAGUUAACACAAUAAGUAUCCCACCUGGGAGUACGGCCGCAAGGUUGAA